rnacentral:rRNA from 1 species
UCGGACUGUCUCUGAGGCAACAAAAUUUCUAUUGAUCGNCCUCAAAUCAGGUAGGACUACCCGCUGAACUUAAGCAUAUCAAUAAGCGGAGGAAAAGAAACUAACAAGGAUUCCCCUAGUAACUGCGAGUGAAGAGGGAAGAGCUCAAAUUUAAAAUCUGUCAGUCUUUGGCUGACUGAGUUGUAAAUUAGAGAAGUGCUAUCAGUGCUGGCCUGUGCCAAAGUCUCUUGGAAAAGAGCAUCAUAGAGGGUGACAAUCCCGUCUUUGGUACAGAUCUCCAGUGCUUCCAUGAUGCGCUCUCGAUGAGUCGAGUUGUUUGGGAAUGCAGCUCUAAAUGGGUGGUAAAUUCCAUCUAAAGCUAAAUAUUGGCGAGAAACCGAUAGCGCACAAGUACCGUGAGGGAAAGAUGAAAAGAACUUUGAAAAGAGAGUUAAACAGUACGUGAAAUUGCUGAAAGGGAAACGCUUGAAGUCAGUCGCGUUCUUCAGAAAUCAACCUGACUUUGGUCUGGCUUACUUUCUGUUGGAUGGGUCAGCAUCGAUUUUGAUCGUUGGAUAAAGGCCUUGGGAAAGUGGCAUCUCCGGAUGUGUUAUAGCCCUUGGAUCACAUACAAUGGUUGGGAUUGAGGAACUCAGUGUGAAUUUGGAGCCUUGCUCACAACACGCACUUAGGAUGCUGGCAUGAUGGCUUUAAUCGACC